rnacentral:piRNA from 1 species
UGGACAUGCUUUGUGGGAGGGGCAUACC